UACGGAGGAUCCGAGCGUUAUCCGGAAUCAUUGGGUUUAAAGGGUCCGUAGGCGGGCCGUUAAGUCAGGGGUGAAAGUCUGCGGCUCAACCGUAGAACUGCCCUUGAUACUGGCGGCCUUGAGUUAUGGUGAAGUAGCCAGAAUAUGUGGUGUAGCGGUGAAAUGCAUAGAUAUCACAUGGAAUACCGAUUGCGAAGGCAGGCUACUAACCAUAUACUGACGCUGAUGGACGAAAGCGUGGGUAGCGAACAGGAUUAGAUACCCUGGUAGUCCACGCCGUAAACGAUGGAUACUAGCUGUCCGGCAGCAAUGCUGGGCGGCCAAGCGAAAGUGAUAAGUAUCCCACCUGGGGAGUACGUCCGCAAGGAUGAA
rnacentral:rRNA from 1 species